UACGUAGGGUGCAGGCGUUAAUCGGAAUUACUGGGCGUAAAGCGCACGCAGGUGGCUGAGUCAGUCGAUUGUGAAAGCCCUGGGCUUAACCUAGGAAUUGCAGUCGAUACUACUCAGCUAGAGUAUGGGAGAGGGCAGUGGAAUUCCCGGUGUAGCGGUGAAAUGCGUAGAUAUCGGGAGGAACAUCAGUGGCGAAGGCGGCUGCCUGGCCCAAUACUGACACUCAGGUGCGACAGCGUGGGGAGCAAACAGG
rnacentral:rRNA from 1 species